UCAGGCAUACGCCACCACACCUGGCUGACCUGGAUUCGCGCUGGGAUCGAGCCUGGUCUUUGCUCCUAGUGCAGCAGCUGGCGUGUCGCGUACACUGUGUUGCAUCCAAUCUACAGAAACGCUCUCAGGUGUCAUUUACAUACAGUAAACUGAGCCCACAGUUCUGGAACUCCGGCAGAUGUAAACACCCCGAGCUGACACCCCCGCGGCUCCCCGGCCGGAGACUCCAGCAGGCGGCUUACUGCUCACAGCCUCACUGAUAACAGUAUCCCGGAGUAUGAUUCAGAGGAUUAAAU